GUCGCGGUCGUUCAGCAGCCAGGAUGCCUGCGUGCCAUGUAGGCGACAGGGGUGCGAGUCCCCUCCGCGGCCCCA
rnacentral:tRNA from 1 species